UUGAACUCACCGUCUUAUCCUUUAAAAUAACAUACUAAAUUAAGUAAAUACAAUGAUAUUUACCCGCAAGCCUUAUAAAAGAAUUAUCACUUUAUAUAUGAUAUUAGCUUGUUGAUUUAAACAACUCAUUUUCCUGGAUAAAUAAUAUUAUACUUUGUGUAAUAUAAAUAAUACCAAAUCUUAAAUCUCAAAAAUUAAAAUUAGAAUAUAUAGG
rnacentral:lncRNA from 1 species